UAAUAAGUGUUUUAUGGCACUUUUUAAAUCCAUAUCCACCUUGUGUGCAAUGUCAGUCGAUCUUCUUCAUGGAGAUCGACCAAACAUCAACCUUUAUCUUUUAACUCUUUGUCUGAAAAAUAUUAUGGAUAAACAAUUCAAAAUA
rnacentral:misc_RNA from 1 species